UACGAAGGGGGCGAGCGUUGUUCGGAUUUACUGGGCGUAAAGGGCGCGUAGGUGGUGGCUUAAGCGUGCGGUGAAAGCUCGGGGCUCAACCCCGAGUCGGCCGUGCGAACUGGGCUCACUGGAGCAUAGUAGAGGCAGGUGGAAUUCCGGGUGUAGCGGUGGAAUGCGUAGAGAUCCGGAAGAACACCGGUGGCGAAGGCGGCCUGCUGGGCUAUGGCUGACACUGAGGCGCGACAGCGUGGGGAGCAAACAGG
rnacentral:rRNA from 1 species